CUACGGGACGCAGCAGUCGAGGAACUUUUACAAUGCUCGAAAGAGUGAUAAAAUAAACCAGAGUGUUUCUCCUAGAGAAACUUUUGUCUGCUGUAAAAAAGCAGAUGAAUAAGGACUGGGCAAGACCGGUGCCAGCCGCCGCGGUAAUACCGGCGGUCCAAGUCGCAUCCACAUUUAUUGGGUCUAAAACAUUCGUAGCUUGUUUUGUAAGUCCCUUGUGAAAUCUGACAUCUCAAGUGUCAGGCGUGCAAGAGAUACUGCAUUGCUAGAGACCGGAAGAUGCAAAGAGUAUGAUUGAGGUAGCGGUAAAAUGUGUUAAUCUUAAUUAGACUAACAAUGGCGAAGGCACUUUGCAAGUACGGAUCUGACAGUGAGGAAUGAAGGCUAGGGGCGCAAAAGGGAUUAGAUACCCUUGUAGUC
rnacentral:rRNA from 1 species